rnacentral:rRNA from 1 species
AUUGAACGCUGGCGGAAUGCUUUACACAUGCAAGUCGAGCGGCAGCACGGGGGUAACCCUGGUGGCGAGCGGCGAACGGGUGAGUAAUACAUCGGAACAUGCCCAGUCGUGGGGGAUAACACUUCGAAAGAAGUGCUAAUACCGCAUACGUCCUGAGGGAGAAAGCGGGGGAUCGCAAGACCUCGCGCGAUUGGAGUGGCCGAUGUCAGAUUACCUAGUUGGUGGGGUAAAGGCCUACCAAGGCAACGAUCUGUAGCUGGUCUGAGAGGAUGAUCAGCCACACUGGGACUGAGACACGGCCCAGACUCCUACGGGAGGCAGCAGUGGGGAAUUUUGGACAAUGGGGGCAACCCUGAUCCAGCCAUUCCGCGUGAGUGAAGAAGGCCUUCGGGUUGUAAAGCUCUUUCGGCAGGAACGAAACGGUGAGCUCUAACAUAGCUUGCUAAUGACGGUACCUGAAGAAGAAGCACCGGCUAACUACGUG